UACGUAGGUGACCAGCGUUGUCCGGAUUUACUGGGCGUAAAGAGCGCGCAGGCGGUCGUUCAAGUCGAGUGUGAAAGCCCCCGGCUCAACUGGGGAGGGUCACUCGAUACUGAUCGACUGGAAGGCAGGAGAGGGUAGUGGAAUUCCCGGUGUAGUGGUGAAAUGCGUAGAUAUCGGGAGGAACACCAGUGGCGAAGGCGACUACCUGGCCUGUUCUUGACGCUGAGGCGCGAAAGCUAGGGGAGCAAACGGG
rnacentral:rRNA from 1 species